GGCGUGAUAGCCAAGCGGCUAGGCAGAGGACUGCAAAUCCUUAGAGAUCGGUUCGACUCCGAUUCACGCCUCCA
rnacentral:tRNA from 1 species